ACUACAAGAUGGCGACUUCCAUGAAGAUGUUGCUGUUGCUAGGUGUAGUAUUGCCCCUUUUGUUGUUAGCGAGAGAGAGUAAUUCCAAGCCUAUCACAGUUACUUUAAAUGCCAAAUGGAACUCAACACCUCUGCUACUGGAAGCUAGUGAGUACAUUGCCAAGGAGAGUCCUGAAUCCUUUUGGAGAUAUGUUGGAGAAAUAGCCAAGUUAGACCCUAAAUCCACUGCCUUAGAAACUGACCAUGGAAAAUACCACAUGGUCCUGAAGUUUGCUGGCAAGGUUAUCUCCCCUUCUCAGCUGAAGUUACUGCAGCUUUCUUUAUCCCUCAGGAUUUACUCCCCAGCUGUGGAAACAUUCCAACAGCUGGCCGAGGGAGGGCCGGAUGGCUGCUUUGCAUUUGUGAACAUUCACGGACAAACGACAUGUGACCCAGCCGAGGUGAAGUCACUGGUGGAAAAAGCAGCAGAUUUACCAAAACCAUCAGUUUUCAAGUUCGAUCAUGUCUAUCCGGGGUCUGCAGAUAAUAACGUUGUUGUAGUACUUUAUGCAGAAGUCGGAAAUGAAGGCUUCCCAGAAUUCCACGAGACACUACGUGACAUAGCAGAAAAGAAAGAAAUUACCUACGUACUACGGCACUUUGUCAGGGACCCAGCCGAGGAGAAAACACGGCUGUCUGGUUAUGGUGUGGAGUUAGCUAUAAAAAGCACGGAAUACAAAGCCAAGGACGACACAAAAGUAGAAAGUGGAGGUUCGGCCGAUACUGAGGAUGAUGACGUAGAUGAAGUGCAAGGAUUCAUCUUUUCCAAACUCAGAGAGUUGCACCCAGACAGCAAAGACGAUUUGAAAUCUUUUAAGAAUCACCUCGUCGCUUCCUCUACUGAAUUAGCAGCUCUCAAAGUUUGGCAAUUACAGGACUUGAGUCUACAAGCAGCUCAGAAUUUGAUGACCACCCCUACGUCUGAGGUAUUGUCGGUUCUCACAGACAUCAGCCAGAAUUUCCCACAGAGAGCCAGGACGCUAGUGAAGACCGUCCUAACUGAAGAAUUCAAAAAAGAAUUGAAGAAGAACCAGCAGUAUUUUGAAACAAACCAUGGCCUGGCCGCUGGCGAGUCGGCGAUGUUCCUUAACGGUUUAUCUGUAGAUAUGGAAGUGUAUGAUAUCUACAGCCUUCUGGAACUGAUGAGAUCUGAGACUAAUCUAAUGGAAGGACUCUACUCACUCGGCUUCAAGGGCCCAGAGGUCAACCAGAUUUUAAGACUGGACCUGAGUGGUGACUCGGAGGACUUUGCAUUAGAUAUCAGACACACUGCUGUUUCUUACUUGAAUGACCUUGAGACUGACCGUAAGUACAAGAACUGGCCGAGCAGUGUACAGGAUAUUCUGCGGCCAACAUUCCCGGGCAUGCUCAGACACGUCGCCAAGAACUUCUUCCAUAUGGUUUUUGUCGUGGAUCCUUUAGAAAAGAACAGUAGAGAAUUGCUGAAGAUGGCCGAGGCGUUUUUGGUUCACAGCGCACCAAUACGAAUCGGUAUAGUGCUUGUCGUUGACUCUGAUCGAGAGGUGACAGGGUAUGAUGAUGCAGGAGUGGCCAUUUCUCGAGCUUUUGAUUACCUAAUUAGGGAGGAGAGUGCAGAAAGGGCAAUAUCUUUCAUCACUGAUGUGUAUGAGAAAGCUCAGUCCAAGGAUCUGACAGCAGACAUAGUAGUAAAGGAAUUCCAUCGCUCCUAUUCUGACGCCGACGAAGGAUCAGUUUUUGGGGACGACGAAGACUAUAAUAUCCUCAGAAAGGCUUCCAACGAUUUUGUGUCCAAAUCGGGGCUGAAGGAUUUCCCCCAGGUCCUGAUGAACGGUGUGCCGAUGGACAAGAAACACCUGACGGAGGAAGCGUUUGAGGAGGGUGUGGUCUCCUCGAUCAUCGCCCACACGCCAGCCAUACAGAAGGCUGUGUACCAAGGCACUCUCCAUGACUCUGUCAAUGUUCAAGAAUGGCUCAUGGAGCGUGACAAUGUUCUGCCUCGACUAAACUCAAGGGUGCUCACACCAGCCAAGAAAUCUCUCGACUUUACUGUUAGACUGGAAGCCAACGUGUACAAUGACGUACAUAAAUUCAGCGUGCUGAACACCAAAGCUAUGACUUCCAUUAUGACCCAGAAUAUGAAAUAUUUAACAAGGAAAGAUGAGAACAUGCUCCGACCUGUAACCAUGUGGGUCGUCUGUGACCUUGAGACUCCUGAAGGUCGAGAUCUGUUGUAUUCCGCUCUCAAACAACUGAAACACUCACAUGACCUGAGACUAGGCGUGAUAUUUAACAGUCGGCCAUGGAGGGCAGAUGAGGACUACCCCAUAUCCCGCGCUGUGUAUGCUGCCCUUACUAACCUUGAGCCAGGUCUCGCCAAAUCCUUCAUCACCAAACUGGUAAAGGAAGAAAAUGUUAAAGCCCUCCUCGCUGGUGACAAAAAGCUCAGUGAUUUUGAGGUCAACGGUAUGGACACUAUGACUUUCUUACUGGCAGAGGAAGUCCAGACUAUCGACUUCAUCAAGGUCCACCGAGCGUUUGUUGACAAGGUGUUAGGGUGGGAGGAGUCGGCGAGGGGAAUACUGGCUAACGGUCAGGUUCUGGGUCCCCUCGACGAAGGCGAGCGAUUUAUACAGGAUGAUGUCGACCUAUUCCAGAAAUAUGUCUUCCAGAAUUCUGCCAAGAAAAUCAAGGGUCUGCUCCAAACCUUGGGACACAAGGAUGAGAGGGGCAGUGACCUUGUGAUGAAGGUGUCGUCUCUCCUCAGUCAGUCUGGGUCGACGAAAGAGAGGAAGGAGGUCCAGUACUCUGGUGACCAACACAGUGUUAUCAAACUGGCUGCCAUUCCUGGAGGCCCGGCCUACCAGAUAGAGGUUAUCCUUGAUCCAGCCUCGAGGGACGCCCAGAAAAUGUCGGCUAUCCUUAUGAUUUUGAGGGAAGUUGCCAAUGUGGACAUCAAGAUAUACAUGAACUGUAAAGACAAAUUGUCUGAGUUACCUGUGAUAACAUUUUACAGAUAUGUGUUAGAACCAUCCGUAUCAUUUAAAGUAGAUGGGUCCUAUUCAGAUGGUCCCAUGGCCAAAUUUACUGACAUGCCAACCAAGUCCCUGCUCACACUUGGAAUGAGCCCAUCUGAAAGCUGGUUGGUGGAGGCAGUGAAGGCCCCUUACGACCUUGACAAUAUUCUGUUAGAGGAGACAAAGUCGGGAAUAAACGCUGACUUCGACCUGGAGUAUCUUCUGUUGGAAGGACAUUGUUCUGACAGUACCACUGGACAGCCACCAAGAGGACUCCAGUUUACACUUGGCCGUAACCAGACGGAGGCUGCCGUGGACACCAUCGUCAUGGCAAAUCUGGGUUACUUCCAGUUGAAGGCAAAUCCAGGUACCUGGUUCUUAAAACUCAGAGAAGGAAGGUCGCUCGAGCUCUACGAUAUUGCAAGCCACGAGUUUACUGACACACCUGCUGGGUCUGAUGACGUUGUCGUGGUGAUGAACAGUUUCAAAAGUAAAAUCAUCAGAAUAAAAGUUGCAAAGAAACCAGAGAAGAAUGAGGAACAGUUAUUGGUUGACGACCAGGAGCGAGGAAUCUGGGAAUCUAUUUCAAGUACAUUGACUGGUGAUAAAGCCGAAGAAGACAAUGAUAAAAUUCUCAAUAUAUUUUCCCUGGCCUCGGGACAUAUGUAUGAGCGCCUCAUGAGGAUAAUGAUGAUGAGUGUACUAAAGAAUACAAAAACUAAAGUGAAGUUUUGGUUUUUAAAGAAUUAUCUUUCACCUUCAUUUAAGGAUUUUAUACCUAAGAUGGCUCAGGAAUAUGAAUUUGAGUUUGAAUUAGUCCAGUACAAAUGGCCACGAUGGUUAAACCAACAGAAAGAAAAACAAAGAAUUAUGUGGGGAUAUAAAAUAUUAUUUUUGGAUGUGCUGUUUCCUUUAGAUGUUAAGAAAAUUAUUUUUGUCGAUGCUGAUCAGAUUGUUCGUACCGAUCUACAAGAGCUUAAUGACUUUGAUUUAGGAGGUGCCCCAUAUGGUUACACCCCGUUCUGUAGUAGUCGCACGGAAAUGGAUGGAUUUAGAUUUUGGAAGUCUGGAUACUGGGCCAGUCAUUUAGCUGGUAGAAAAUAUCACAUCAGUGCCUUAUAUGUAGUAGAUCUGAAGAAGUUCCGGCGAAUCGCCGCGGGCGACCGUCUACGGGGUCAGUACCAGGGCCUGAGUCAGGACCCCAACAGUUUAUCUAACCUGGACCAGGAUCUCCCUAACAACAUGAUCCACCAGGUGGCCAUCAAGUCUCUACCACAGGAGUGGCUCUGGUGUGAAACCUGGUGUAGUAACGAGUCCAAGGCCAAGGCUAAAACUAUAGAUUUGUGCAAUAACCCUCAGACCAAAGAACCCAAAUUAAAAGCAGCUCUUCGUAUUGUACCCGAGUGGAAGAAUUACGACUACGAAAUAAAGAUUUUAUGGGACAAAGUUUACAAUACCGAUACAAGAUCUCAAAUAGAAUAUGAUCCUCCAGAUAUAGAGACAGCAACAAUAGGUACGUAUUGAUUAUCUCCCCUGUGAUAUAGAGACAGCAACAAUAGGUACGUAUUGAUUAUCUCCCCUGUGAUAUAGAGACAGCAACAAUAGGUACAUAUUGAUUAUCUCCCCUGUGAUAUAGAGACAGCAACAAUAGGUACGUAUUGAUUAUCUCCCCCUGUGAUAUAGAGACAGCAACAAUAGGUACGUAUUGAUUAUCUCCCCUGUGAUAUAGAGACAGCAACAAUAGGAUUGUGUUGAUUAUCUCCCCUGUGAUAUAGAGACAGCAACAAUAGGUACGUAUUGGUUAUCUCCCCUGUGAUAUAGAGACAGCAACAAUAGGUACGUAUUGGUUAUCUCCCCUGUGAUAUAGAGACAGCAACAAUACCUACGUAUUGAUUAUCUCCCCUGUGAUAUAGAGACACCAACAAUAGGUACGUAUUGAUUAUCUCCCCUGUGAUAUAGAGACAGCAACAAUAGGUACGUAUUGAUUAUCUCCCCUGUGAUAUAGAGACAGCAACAAUAGGUACGUAUUGAUUAUCUCCCCUGUGAUAUAGAGACAGCAACAAUAGGUACGUAUUGAUUAUCUCCCCUGUGAUAUAGAGACAGCAACAAUAGGUACGUAUUGGUUAUCUCCCCUGUGAUAUAGAGACAGCAACAAUAGGUACGUAUUGAUUAUCUCCCCUGUGAUAUAGAGACAGCAACAAUAGGUACGUAUUGAUUAUCUCCCUUUGAUAUAGAGACAGCAACAAUAGGUACGUAUUGAUUAUCUCCCCUGUGAUAUAGAGACACCAACAAUAGGUACGUAUUGAUUAUCUCCCCUGUGAUAUAGAGACAGCAACAAUAGGUACGUAUUGAUUAUCUCCCCUGUGAUAUAGAGACAGCAACAAUAGGUACGUAUUGAUUAUCUCCCCUGUGAUAUAGAGACAGCAACAAUAGGUACGUAUUGAUUAUCUCCCCUGUGAUAUAGAGACAGCAACAAUAGGUAUGUAUUGAUUAUCUCCCCUGUGAUAUAGAGACAGCAACAAUAGGUACGUAUUGGUUAUCUCCCCUGUGAUAUAGAGACAGCAACAAUAGGUACGUAUUGAUUAUAUCCCCUGUGAUAUAGAGACACCAACAAUAGGUACGUAUUGAUUAUCUCCCUUUGAUAUAGAGACAGCAACAAUAGGUACGUAUUGAUUAUCUCCCCUGUGAUAUAGAGACAGCAACAAUAGGUACGUAUUGAUUAUCUCCCCUGUGAUAUAGAGACAGCAACAAUAGGUACGUAUUGAUUAUCUCCCCUGUGAUAUAGAGACAGCAACAAUAGGUACGUAUUGAUUAUCUCCCCUGUGAUAUAGAGACAGCAACAAUAGGUACGUAUUGAUUAUCUCCCCUGUGAUAUAGAGACAGCAACAAUAGGUACGUAUUGGUUAUCUCCCCUGUGAUAUAGAGACAGCAACAAUAGGUACGUAUUGAUUAUCUCCCCUGUGAUAUAGAGACAGCAACAAUAGGUACGUAUUGAUUAUCUCCCCUGUGAUAUAGAGACAGCAACAAUAGGUACGUAUUGAUUAUCUCCCCUGUGAUAUAGAGACAGCAACAAUAGGUACGUAUUGGUUAUCUCCCCUGUGAUAUAGAGACAGCAACAAUACCUACGUAUUGAUUAUCUCCCCUGUGAUAUAGAGACAGCAACAAUAGGUACGUAUUGAUUAUCUCCCCUGUGAUAUAGAGACAGCAACAAUAGGUAUGUAUUGAUUAUCUCCCCUGUGAUAUAGAGACAGCAACAAUAGGUACGUAUUGAUUAUCUCCCCUGUGAUAUAGAGACAGCAACAAUAGGUACGUAUUGAUUAUCUCCCCUGUGAUAUAGAGACAGCAACAAUAGGUACGUAUUGAUUAUCUCCCCUGUGAUAUAGAGACACCAACAAUAGGUACGUAUUGGUUAUCUCCCUUGUGAUAUAGAGACAGCAACAAUAGGUACGUAUUGAUUAUCUCCCCUGUGAUAUAGAGACAGCAACAAUAGGUACGUAUUGAUUAUCUCCCCUGUGAUAUAGAGACAGCAACAAUAGGGUCAAAAAUUAAGGAUGAAUUAUAACAGUACUAUCGCAGCUGUAAAGAGAAAUGACCACAAUUAUGAGAUGUGAGAUGUCGGACGUGUGAGUGUAUGAGUUGAUCGAGUGUGUAAUAGAGUGUGAGAGAAGUGAGAUUGUGAGAUGUGUCGUAUGAUUUGAACUUGAACUCCACUUCAUUACUUACAUUUAAGAUCUAAACUUACACUUUUUCUCUCCAAGUAGUCUGACUGAUAUCUUAAAGGGGAGAUUUCUAUUUCAUGACUAAUAAAAAGUGCUUUUUUGAUUAUCGUUUAGAAAUGUAUGUUAGGGGAAGUUUAUAUAUAACACAAAAAUGGUGGAUUCUCGUAGGAAAGAAAACGUUUUUGGUGAUUCAAAAUGAACAAGGAGUCGAAUUUACUUAAGCAAUGAACUGUGGUUUUAAUGUUGUUAUAGUCGAUAUGGCAGCAAGAUGUAUGGUGGGCAAAUGGCAUGGGAACCCAUUAGGGUUCCCAUGCUACAUUUGCCCACCAUACAUCUUGCUGCCAUAUCGACUAUAACAACAUUAAAACCACUGUUCAAUACUUAUAUUUACAUUGUCUUACCAUUUUCGUUUGACUGCUGGCUAGUCUUCUCUGACAUGAAGUAUUGGAGUGGACAUCAAGUUCAUCUCAUCAUAUUCCAUUGAGAGGGAAAUAUUGAAUAUAUACGUGGACCGAUCAUUAAUUUAAGGAAGGGCUCAAUGAUUCUCUUCUUUUGUGAUGUUCAUUGUCAAUUCCAUCAGUAAAAUGUUUGUAAGAAGUAUCUGCACUAUUGUUGUGUGACAAGCAUUAACAAGAUUAAGAUUUGUAUCUACUUGUUGACAUUGUCUGCAUGCAAAUGUAUCUGUAAUGACAAGAUAAGACAGUUUAAACUUCUCUCAUUUCUACUAUACAAGGAUGUCCUGUAUGUUUAAUUAGCAUCCUGAUUAAAUUAGUCAAAGGUCAAAGGUCGAUCAUGACCCCUAUAUAGAUGUCAUCAUUAAUAUUCGACUAUAAUUAGUAUACUAAGCACCUAUGAUUGAUAUGGUAUGUAUUGGUAAAUCUUAUAAAUUUGGUUUAAUAUAGAAAAUAUAUUUCUUAUUCCAAAUAAAAUUCACAUUCAAGUUCUUCCAAUCAAUAUUGAUCCAUUCCCUGAAUUCCUGUCGGGUUCUGUUAUAAUCCGAGAGCCUUCUUUCCUAACAGACCCAUAUAUGCUGGUCAGGUGUUUAACUCAAAUUCAACACGUACUUCGGGUCACCAUCUUUAAAGUCACAUCACAGUUGAUACGCAAACUGCUCUUGCAAAGUGGCCGAUCCAGCCGUAAAUCUUUCUCCAGUAGUUAGACAGGCCUUUCUUACUCCUGUCAGUCAAUGGGUCAAAGGUCAAAGGUCAGUAAGUGCCAUUUAAGUGUGUCCUUAAUUUGGCACUUUCCUGAAAGUCUUUGAGUACUAGUUAUGAUAUAUUAAGUCUAGAUCUAAGUUUGUUUAUUGAUAAAAAUGGAAAUCUUCCCCAUUGUAACGAAAUGAACCUCGGUUACCUGCAGUGUGGUAUGCUAGAGAGGGUCCGUCACUCCAUUAUAAAAGCCAGAUUUUUAAGACAUCGUGUAAAGGUCUGAUGACACCUUGUUUCUGAUGCUGCAUUGUCAAUAAUUUACAAAAUGAAUCCAUCAUGCUUCAUUAAGAUGAUGUGAUCAAUUCUCCAUUAAAAUUUUCCCAGAAAUAACAGCAUUUUGGCCACUACAGCAGAAAUAAAAGGGGGCUGGAUUUAUAAUGUUCCAUGUUAUUACGCAAUCAAUCACUGGUACAAAUUUUACUGGUAAUAUUUAUUUUAACACUUUUCAUGUUGAAAUCAUUUUGCUAAAUUACAAUACAUGUACACAAAAUGUAGUUUUAAUAUAUAGUUUUUGAUGAAUAGUA